UACGUAGGGUGCAAGCGUUGUCCGGAAUUAUUGGGCGUAAAGGGCUCGUAGGCGGUCCAUCGCGUCGGGAGUGAAAAGCUGGGGCUUAACCCCAGUCCUGCUUCCGAUACGGGUGGACUAGAGUGUGGUAGGGGAGACUGGAAUUCCUGGUGUAGCGGUGAAAUGCGCAGAUAUCAGGAGGAACACCGAUGGCGAAGGCGGGUCUCUGGGCCGAUACUGACGCUGAGGAGCGAAAGCGUGGGGAGCGAACAGG
rnacentral:rRNA from 1 species